UACGGGGAGGCAGCAGUGGGGAAUAUUGCACAAUGGGGGAAACCCUGAUGCAGCCAUGCCGCGUGUGUGAAGAAGGCCUUCGGGUUGUAAAGCACUUUCAGUAGGGAGGAAGGUAGUGUAGUUAACACCUGCAUUAUUUGACGUUACCUACAGAAGAAAGCACCGGCUAACUCCGUGCCAGCAGCCGCGGUAAAACGGAGGGUGCGAGCGUUAAUCGGAAUUACUGGGCGUAAAGCGCAUGCAGGCGGCUUGUUAAGUCAGAUGUGAAAGCCCGGGGCUUAACCUCGGAAUUGCAUUUGAAACUGGCAGGCUAGAGUCUUGUAGAGGGGGGUAGGAAUUUCAGGUGUAGCGGUGAAAUGCGUAGAGAUCUGAAGGAAUACCAGUGGCGAAGGCGGCCCCCUGGACAAAGACUGACGCUCAGAUGCGAAAGCGUGGGGAGCAAACAGGAUUAGAUACCCUGGUAG
rnacentral:rRNA from 1 species